rnacentral:rRNA from 1 species
UACGUAGGGUGCGAGCGUUAAUCGGAAUUACUGGGCGUAAAGCGUGCGUAGGCGGUUGGCAAAGUCAGCUGUGAAAGCCCCGGGCUUAACCUGGGAUGGCGGUUGAAACUAGUCGACUAGAAUCUGGCAGAGGGGGGUGGAAUUCCACGUGUAGCAGUGGAAAUGCGUAGAGAUGUGGAGGAACACCGAUGGCGAAGGACAGCCCCCUGGGCUGAGCA